rnacentral:tRNA from 1 species
GAGGGUAUAGCUCAGUGAUAGAGUGCAUGCCUAGCAUGCAUGAGGUCCUCAGUUCAAUCCCCAGUGCCUCCA